rnacentral:rRNA from 1 species
UACGAAGGGGGCUAGCGUUGUUCGGAAUUACUGGGCGUAAAGGGCGCGUAGGCGGUGUGUCAAGUCAGGCGUGAAAGCCCCGGGCUCAACCUGGGAACCGCGCUUGAGACUGGCACGCUCGAGUUCGGGAGAGGUGAGUGGAAUUCCGAGUGUAGAGGUGAAAUUCGUAGAUAUUCGGAAGAACACCAGUGGCGAAGGCGGCUCACUGGCCCGUUACCGACGCUCAGGCGCGACAGCGUGGGGAGCAAACAGG